rnacentral:rRNA from 1 species
UACGAAGGGAGCUAGCGUUGUUCGGAAUCACUGGGCGUAAAGCGCACGUAGGCGGAUUUGUCAGUCAGGGGUGAAAUCCCGGGGCUCAACCUCGGAACUGCCUUUGAUACAGCAAGUCUUGAGUUCGAGAGAGGUGGGUGGAAUUCCUAGUGUAGAGGUGAAAUUCGUAGAUAUUCGGAGGAACACCAGUGGCGAAGGCGGCUCGCUGGCCCAUUUCUGACGCUGAGGUGCGAAAGCGUGGGGAGCAAACAGG